rnacentral:rRNA from 1 species
GACGAACGCUGGCGGCGUGCCUAAUACAUGCAAGUAGAACGCUGAAGGAGGAGCUUGCUUCUCUGGAUGAGUUGCGAACGGGUGAGUAACGCGUAGGUAACCUGCCUGGUAGCGGGGGAUAACUAUUGGAAACGAUAGCUAAUACCGCAUAAUAGCAGUUGUUGCAUGACAACUGUUUGAAAGGUGCAAUUGCACCACUACCAGAUGGACCUGCGUUGUAUUAGCUAGUUGGUGGGGUAACGGCUCACCAAGGCGACGAUACAUAGCCGACCUGAGAGGGGGAUCGGCCACACUGGGACUGAGACACGGCCCAGACUCCUACGGGAGGCAGCAGUAGGGAAUCUUCGGCAAUGGACGGAAGUCUGACCGAGCAACGCCGCGGGAGUGAAGAAGGUUUUCGGAUCGUAAAGCUCUGUUGUAAGAGAAGAACGAGUGUGAGAGUGGAAAGUUCACACUGUGACGGUAGCUUACCAGAAAGGGACGGCUAACUACGUG